rnacentral:rRNA from 1 species
UACGUAGGGCGCAAGCGUUGUCCGGAAUUAUUGGGCGUAAAGAGCUCGUAGGCGGUUUGUCGCGUCUGCUGUGAAAACCCGAGGCUCAACCUCGGGCCUGCAGUGGGUACGGGCAGACUAGAGUGUGGUAGGGGAGACUGGAAUUCCUGGUGUAGCGGUGAAAUGCGCAGAUAUCAGGAGGAACACCGAUGGCGAAGGCAGGUCUCUGGGCCACUACUGACGCUGAGAAGCGGAAAGCAUGGGGAGCGAACAGG